AUUGAACGCUGGCGGCAGGCUUAACACAUGCAAGUCGAACGGUAAAAGGCAGCUUGCUUCUGGCGUUAGCGGCGCGCGUGUGUGAUAUGCCUGGGAGUCUCCCUGCUUGGGGGGUAUAACGUCUGGAGACGGGCGCCAAUACCACAUGAUUUCUGCGGGAGCGCGGGGGGGAGUUUGGGACCGCUCGCUAUGAGGUGAGCGUAGGUGGGAUUGGCUAGUUGGUGGGGUAAGGGCCUACCAACCAGACGAUCGGUGACUGGUCUGAGUGGGAGCUCAGUCACACUGGAACUGAGACACGGUCCAGACUCCUACGGGAGGCAGCAGUGGGGAAUGUUGGACAAUGGGCGAAAGCCUGAUCCAGCAAUGCCGCGUGUGGGAAGAAGGCCUUCGGUUUGUAAAGUGCUUUUGGAUGGGAGGAAGCGCAUUAGGUUAAUACCAGGCGGUAUUGACGUUACCGACAGAAUAAGCACCGGCUAACUACGUG
rnacentral:rRNA from 1 species